rnacentral:rRNA from 1 species
UACGUAGGGGGCAAGCGUUGUCCGGAUUUAUUGGGCGUAAAGCGCACGUAGGCGGCAUUGCAAGUCGGAUGUGAAAUCUUAUGGCUUAACCAUAAAAGUGCAUCCGAAACUGCAGUGCUUGAGUACUUAAGAGGAUCGCGGAAUUCCCGGUGUAGAGGUGAAAUUCGUAGAUAUCGGGAGGAACACCAGUGGCGAAGGCGGCGAUCUGGGAAGAUACUGACGCUGAGGUGCGAAAGCGUGGGGAGCAAACAGG